rnacentral:rRNA from 1 species
ACGCGUGGGAAUAUGCCCAGAUCUAAGGAAUAGCCACUGGAAACGGUGAGUAAUACCUUAUACGCCCUUCGGGGGAAAGAUUUAUCGGAUUUGGAUUAGCCCGCGUUAGAUUAGGUAGUUGGUGGGGUAAUGGCCUACCAAGCCUACGAUCUAUAGCUGGUUUUAGAGGAUGAUCAGCAACACUGGGACUGAGACACGGCCCAGACUCCUACGGGAGGCAGCAGUGGGGAAUCUUGGACAAUGGGGGCAACCCUGAUCCAGCCAUGCCGCGUGAGUGAUGAAGGCCUUAGGGUCGUAAAGCUCUUUCGCCUGUGAAGAUAAUGACGGUAGCAGGUAAAGAAACCCCGGCUAACUCCGUGCCAGCAGCCGCGGUAAUACGGAGGGGGUUAGCGUUGUUCGGAAUUACUGGGCGUAAAGCGCACGUAGGCGGAUCGGAAAGUUGGGGGUGAAAUCCCGGGGCUCAACCCCGGAACUGCCUCCAAAACUAUCGGUCUAGAGUUCGAGAGAGGUGAGUGGAAUUCCAAGUGUAGAGGUGAAAUUCGUAGAUAUUUGGAGGAACACCAGUGGCGAAGGCGGCUCACUGGCUCGAUACUGACGCUGAGGUGCGAAAGUGUGGGGAGCAAACAGGAUUAGAUACCCUGGUAGUCCACACCGUAAACGAUGAAUGCCAGUCGUCGGGUAGCAUGCUAUUCGGUGACAC